rnacentral:rRNA from 1 species
GAUGAACGCUGGCGGCGUGCCUAAUACAUGCAAGUCGAGCGAACGGACGAGAAGCUUGCUUCUCUGAUGUUAGCGGCGGACGGGUGAGUAACACGUGGAUAACCUACCUAUAAGACUGGGAUAACUUCGGGAAACCGGAGCUAAUACCGGAUAAUAUUUUGAACCGCAUGGUUCAAAAGUGAAAGACGGUCUUGCUGUCACUUAUAGAUGGAUCCGCGCUGCAUUAGCUAGUUGGUAAGGUAACGGCUUACCAAGGCAACGAUGCAUGGCCGACCUGAGAGGGUGAUCGGCCACACUGGGACUGAGACACGGUCCAGACUCCUACGGGAGGCAGCAGUAGGGAAUCUUCCGCAAUGGGCGGAAGCCUGACGGAGCAGCGCCGCGUGAGUGAUGAAGGUCUUCGGAUCGUAAAACUCUGUUAUUAGGGAAGAACAUAUGUGUAAGUAACUGUGCACAUCUUGACGGUACCUAAUCAGAAAGCCACGGCUAACUACGUG